rnacentral:lncRNA from 1 species
UGCAGGUCCCGUGAGUCCGAUUUUGAGAUGGGACAACUGCCGAGGUUUGCUGAGGGUGGCAUGUUCCUUGCUCCUUUGAAGCUAUGGUGGAGGGAAAACUGAAUUUCCCUACACACUGGAUGCAGGAGAUGUUCACACUGCCUUCCAACUUGGGGUGGGUGGUUCCAUCUCUCUGGGGAGAGGCAUAUCUGUCUCUGACUUGAAACAAUGUCUUACAUCUCUUCUAUUUUUAGAAUAAUCCAUUUUUUUUAGUCUGUUUAUCUAUCAUCUAUCAUCUAUUUUGAGGAGUCAAGAACUCCUUUUGGGCCUUUUCCAGGAUAACUUUUGGAACAUAAAGUUCUUAAAACUCUUAUACUUGAGCAUAUGAAUGUCCUGUGCCUUGGAACAGGAAUGAGGGACUUCUUUCCGAAGAGGAAAAGAGGGGGAAAAUCAAAUUUACUUCUAUUCCUAGAAACAAAGACAUAAAUUACUAUAUAAUUACCAUUUAAAUUACUUUAUAAAUUACUACAAGGGCAUAAAUUACUAUGGCAAUAAUCUAGCCCACCCCAUCACACUGGAACCUCGCCCCCCUUGAUUACCCACAGAGGAAACCUAGCAAAAUUAAACAUCAGUUGUCUAGCCACUUCCUCAACUACAGAAUUGAGCUAAUACCAACCUUCCAAGGAAGUAAAGAAGUUAGCUGUUUGAUACUUAGGGUUCUAAUGAAUUUAUUUCCUCUUCUUAUUUUUCCCCUGCAGGAGGGAUCACUGCCUUUUGUGGAAGUGCAAAAAGCUGAAUUGGACGGUCCAGACUCUAGGGGUCUGAGAAUAGAGAACAGAUGAACUUUGCCAGGCAGGGGACACCCUACAGCUCACAAAGUCUUUUCUUCCCUCUCUAUGUGGUUCUGAGCAAUAAGAGGUACAGCUUAGCAGGUACUGUAGAAAUUUCUGUGCUCUCAACAGUGAUGCCCAAGCCUGACUGAUCAAUAGAAUUAACAUGGAGAAUUAAAAAGUACUCCAUGGCCAUACCACCCUUAAGGUGCCCAAUCUUGUCUGAUCUCGGAAGAUAAGCAGGGUCCCGCCAACAAUCCCAGUGAUUCCGGAGGCUGAGGCAGGAGGAUUGCAAGUUCAAAGCCAGCCUCAGCAACUUAGUGAAACCCUAAGCAACUCAGUGAGACCCUGCCUCAAAAUAAAAUGUUAAAAAGGGCUGGGGAUGUGGCUCAGUGAUAUAUAUUUAUAUAUUUUUUAAAAUAAAAUUCCUACCUCAGACUCUUAUAGCUCCUCUCCC